rnacentral:sRNA from 1 species
AUCCCACAUGGCGGCGCUCCUGAGGAGGCUGCUGCAGCGCGAGAGGCCUUCGGCGGCCUCUGGCCGCCCCGUAGGACGGCGCGAGGCCAGCUUGGGCACUGAUCCCGGGGUUGCGGUGCGAGUGCGGUUCGCUCCCAGCCCCACAGGCUUCUUGCACCUGGGUGGCCUCCGCACUGCUUUGUACAACUACAUCUUUGCUAAGAAGUACCAGGGGAGCUUCAUCCUGAGGCUGGAGGACACAGAUCAGACUCGCCUUGUGCCUGGGGCAGCGGAGAAUAUUGAGGACAUGCUGGAGUGGGCAGAUGAGAACCCAGAGCCCAGAAAGAUCACUUGCCCAAGGUCUGUGAGCUGGCUGGCAUCCCCCCUGAUGAGAGCCCCCGCCGGGGCGGUCCUGCUGGGCCCUACCAGCAAUCUCAGCGGUUGGAGCUGUACGCCCAGGCCACAGAAGCACUGCUGAAGACCGGAGCUGCUUACCCCUGUUUCUGCUCACCCCAGCGGCUGGAGCUCCUGAAGAAGGA